CCCGGCUAUCAUUCCAGGCGAACGAUGAACCCUCACUUGUGGGGGGAUUAGUGGCGAACGGGUGAGUAACACGUGAGUAACCUGCCCUUGACUCUGGGAUAAGCCUGGGAAACCGGGUCUAAUACUGGAUACGACCUUCUGGCGCAUGCCAUGUUGGUGGAAAGCUUUUGUGGUUUUGGAUGGACUCGCGGCCUAUCAGCUUGUUGGUGGGGUAAUGGCCUACCAAGGCGACGACGGGUAGCCGGCCUGAGAGGGUGACCGGCCACACUGGGACUGAGACACGGCCCAACUCCUACGGGAGGCACAUGGGGAAUAUUGCACAAUGGGCCAACCUGAUGC
rnacentral:rRNA from 1 species